rnacentral:pre_miRNA from 1 species
AGUUGAUAUGGUCGUUAAUGAUCUCGCUGUUAUCGAUGUGGUUAUAAAGGAAAUAGUGUCUUGAGAACCGUUAUACUGUAGUAUUGAGAACGGUUAUACGGACCGUUAUACUACAGUACAACGGUUCUAUAACCACAUCGAUAACAGCGGGAUCAUUAACGACCAUA